rnacentral:rRNA from 1 species
UACGGGGGGGGGGCAAGCGUUGUUCGGAAUUACUGGGCGUAAAGGGCGCGUAGGCGGCCUGCUAAGUCGGAUGUGAAAUCCCUCGGCUCAACCGAGGAACUGCAUCCGAUACUGGCGGGCUUGAAUCCGGGAGAGGGAUGUGGAAUUCCCAGUGUAGAGGUGAAAUUCGUAGAUAUUGGGAAGAACACCAGUGGCGAAGGCGGCUCACUGGCCCGUAACUGACGCUGAGGUGCGAAAGCGUGGGGAGCAAACAGG